rnacentral:tRNA from 1 species
AUUUAUUUAGUAUAAUAAGUAUAUUUGGCUUCCAACCAGAAGGUCUAGAUUUCUAGAAUAAAUA